GCUCAAUUCGCUGCCAUUUAGGAGUUAAAUCACUUUGUUUCUGUUUAUGCAGCCCUGGCCACACCUCCCCUGGCUAUGAUUGACAGAACCUGCAUGAAAUAAAAACUGGUUUCACUUUCAAACAGAUGUAAUUUACCUUAAAUAAUUGUAUCUCAAUCUCUAAAUUGAACUUUAAUCACAUACAGGAGGCUCUUGCAGGGUCUAGCAAGCUAUUAACAUAGCAGGGGAUGAGAAAAUCUUAAUUAAACAGAACUUGCAAUAAAGAAAGCCUAAAUAGGGCUCUCUUUACAGGAAGUGUUUAUGGAAGGCUGUGCAAGUCACAUGCAG